rnacentral:rRNA from 1 species
CUUGGUCAUUUAGAGGAAGUAAAAGUCGUAACAAGGUUUCCGUAGGUGAACCUGCGGAAGGAUCAUUAUUGAAUAAACCUGAUGUGGCUGUUAGCUGGCUUUUCGGAGCAUGUGCUCGUCCGUCAUCUUUAUAUCUCCACCUGUGCACAUUUUGUAGUCUUGGACAUUUUAGGAUCGCAUCAGCUUUCCUUUCAUUUCCAAGACUAUGUUUUUAUAUACCCCAAAGUAUGUUUAAAGAAUGUCAUCAAUAGGAACUUGUUUUCUAUGAAAUUAUACAACUUUCAGCAACGGAUCUCUUGGCUCUCGCAUCGAUGAAGAACGCAGCGAAAUGCGAUAAGUAAUGUGAAUUGCAGAAUUCAGUGAAUCAUCGAAUCUUUGAACGCACCUUGCGCUCCUUGGUAUUCCGAGGAGCAUGCCUGUUUGAGUGUCAUUAAAUUCUCAACCUUCCAACUUUUAUUAGCUUGGUUAGGCUUGGAUGUGGGGGUUGCGGGCUUCAUUAACGAGGUCGGCUCUCCUUAAAUGUAUUAGCGGAACUUUUGUGAACCGUCUAUUGGUGUGAUAAUUAUCUACGCCGUGGAUGUGAAGCAGCUUUAUGAAGUUCAGCUUCUAACCGUCCCUUGACUUGGACAAUUCUUGACAAUUUGACCUCAAAUCAGGUAGGACUACCCGCUGAACUUAAGCAUAUCAAUAAGCGGAGGAAAAGAAACUAACAAGGAUUCCCCUAGUAACUGCGAGUGAAGCGGGAAAAGCUCAAAUUUAAAAUCUGGCAGCCUUUGGCUGUCCGAGUUGUAAUCUAGAGAAGUAUUAUCCGCGCUGGACCGUGUACAAGUCUCCUG